rnacentral:lncRNA from 1 species
AUUCGGCAGCGGCUCGCGGCCCGGAGCCCCCUGGGGCACACGGAGGCCCGGGCGGCCGCGCCCCCGGGGCCGGGCCUCGGGGCGGGGGGUGCUGGGGCCAAGGCGCCGCACGGGCGCCCAACCUCGGGGUGCCGCCUCCACAGGCUGUGGCUGGGGCUGGGGCGCGGGAGGCCCGCGGGGCUUCGGAGAGGGAAACUUAGAGAAAAGUCUUCCACUUGGCUUGGGGCCGCAGGGGAAGGAAGACGCCCUCCGCCUGUGCCGGCGCCGACCGCGGGCCGGCAGGUGGGGAGGCCCAGAGCUGGCGGGGAGUUCGUCCCACUCGGAGCCACAGCCUUGCCCGAGGGAGCCUCGAAAUCGUUCAAGGGCAACCUCAGACCAGAGCCAGGGCGCCUCCUCCACAUUCCUGACAGAUGUGCACGCCGCCUCCUCUUGGAUGCUUCCCGUGACAAGGAGCUCACUCCUCAACAAGGCGGACUGCUCGUCCAUCAAGCCUGGCAUCUAAUUCACCUGUGCCGGGUACCGCAGAUGGAGAACGCCAGACAGCUGACACAAAUGCAAGACCCACAGCAACCCCAGGUCCUAGACCUCUUUCCCUCCUCUACUGAGAGAUCAUCCUGCAACUCCCAAGAGUACAUGUCUCUAUUGCAGCUAUACUGAAACUGAUCAGCACCUCACAGUCCCAGUUCCCGCUUCUCAGGAGGAGUAAUCUCAUGGACCCAUCUUGGCUGUGAGGGGUGGGCAAACUCAGAGAGAGGGUACUAAGUUGCUGAGAAGACAAACAGCUUUCCAAGCAGCCCCCAAACUGUAUUAUUGGGGAAGCUUCUUAUCUGGUGGAAGCUACUUCAGGGAACACACAAAUGAUAAGAAAGAAAAACAGUCUUAUUGCUAAGUUGGAAAAAGUUUGAGUGGUCUGGAUAGAAGAACAAACCAGCCAUAACAGUCCCUUCAGCCAAAGCCUAGUCAGAGCAAGGUCUUAACUCUCUUCUAUUCUCUGAAGCCUGAGAGAGGUGAGGAAGCUGCAGAAGAGAAGUUUGAUGCUAGCAGAGGUUAGUUCAUGAGGUUUAAGAAAAGAAGUCAUCCUAUAACAUAAAAGUACAAGGUGUGCAGAUCACCAAGGGGUAUUUAAAAAAAUAAAAAUAAAAAAUAAAGUACAAGGUGAAGGAGCACGUGCUGAUACAGAAGUUGCAGCAAGUUAUCCAGAAGAUCUAGCUAAGAUCACUGAGGAAGGCGGCUACACUAAACAACAGAUUUUCAGUGGAGACACAACAGCUUUCUAGUGGAAGAAAAUGCUACCUACGGCUUUCACAGCUGGAGAGGAGGAGUCAAUACCUGGUUUCUAAGCUUCAGAGGACAGGCUGAACUCUCUUGUUAAGGGCUAAUGCAACUGGUGACUUUAAGUUGAAGCCAAUGCUCAUUUACCAUUUUGAAAAUCCUCAGGCUCUUAAGAAUCAUGCUAAAUCAACUCUUCCUAUAAAUGAAAUAACAUUUCACUAUUUCUAUAAAUGAAAUAACAUUUCACUAUUUCUAUAAAUGAAAUAACAUUUCAUUAUUUCUAUAAAUGAAAUAACAAGGCUUGAAUGACAGCACAUCUGUUUACUGGUUUACAGUAAAGAGCACAUCUGGUUUACUGAAAAUUUAAACCCACUGUUGAGACCUACUGCAGAGAAAAAAUGAUUCUUCUCAAAAUAUGACUGCUCAAUGACAAUGCACCUGAUCACCUAUGAGCUCUGAUGAAGAUGUACAAGGAGAUUAACAUUGUUUUCAUGCCUGCUAACACCAACAUUCAUUCUGCAGCCCAUGGGCCAAGGAAUAAUUUAGACUUUCAAGUCUUAUAAUUUAAGAAAUACAUUUUCUAAGGCUAUUGCUGCCACAUAUAGUGAUUCCUCUGAUGGAUCUGGGCAAAGUAAAUUGAAAACCUUCUGGAAAGGACUCACCAUUCUAGAUGCCAUUAAGAACAUUUGUGAUUCAUGGGAGAAGGUCAAAAUAUCAGUACUAACAGGAGUAUGAAAGAAGUUGAUACCAACCCUAGUAGAUGACUUUGAGGGGUUCAGGACUUCAGUGGAGGAAGUCAUUGCAGAUGUGGGAAUAGCAAGAGAACUAGAAUUCCAUGGGCAUCCUGAGGAUGUGACCGAAUUGCUGCAAUCUCAUAAAAUGAAUGGAUGAGGAGUUGCUUCUUAUGGAUGAGCAAAGAAAGUGGUUUCUUGAGAUAGAAUCUACUCCCGGUGAAGACACUGUAAACAUUGUUGAAAUGACAACAAAAGAUUUGUAAUAUUCCGUAAACUUAGUUGAUAAAGCAGCAGCUGGGUUUGAGAGAAUGGACUCUAAUUUUGACACAAGUUCUACAGUGGGUAAAAUGCUAUCAAGCAGCAUUGCACGCUACAGAGAAAUCUUUUACGAAAGGAAGAGUCCUUCGAUGCAGCAAACGUUAUUCUUGUCUCAUUUUAGGAAAUUGCCAUAGCCGUUCUGACCUUUAGCAACCACCACCCUGAUCUAUUAGCAGCCAUCAACAUCAAGGCAAGACCCUCUACCAGCAAAAAGGCUCAGAGGAUUUUCAGCAUUUUUUGGCAAUAAAGCAUAUUUUAAUUUAGGUAUGCACAUUGGUUUCUCAUAAUAGAUAUACUGCUAUUGCACACUUAGUAGACUACAGUAUAAAUAUAACUUUUAUAUGUACUGGGAAACCAAAAAAAUACAUAUGACUUGCACAAUAAAGUGAUAUUCGCUGUAUUGAAUUGGUCUGGAACUGAACCACCAACGAACCUGCAAUGUCUCCGAGGUAUGCCUGCACCGCCUAGGAAAACUUAAGUGCCCACUAUUGAGAGGUGCUGCAAUUGCUAAUCAUUGCUAAUCCUGCUCGCCUGUCUUUUGCUUGGAGGACCAGGACUGCCUCUGACACUUCCUUGUAUAGUGUGCUUAGCAAAAAAGAUGUUCCAUAACUACUUGGGGGUAAGGAUGUGAUUUGUUUUUGUUUCGCUUCUCCUUUUUGGGGAUAUUUACUUCCUCUGAAAAUCAAAUGUGUUCUCAAGUGUGUUUCAGUGUAAUAAACCAGGGUGGUUCAUUUGAAAUUAUGGUGUGGCAACAAGCCAGUCAGUUUGAGGGGAAAUCUGAUCCCACACUGGUCUUCUCAGCCACAGUCCCAGCCUGGGCUUCUGCUGUCAUCCCAGGUGGCAGUCUGCAGACAGGUGUGCACUCAGCAGGAGGCUUCUGGGACUUCAGUCCAGAGAUGACUCCAGUGGACAGCCAGCAUGGAGAACCACUGGGCAAGAGAAAGAGGCUCCAGGUUGGAAUGCAGGGAAACACUUUCACGUAAGGAGCAGGUGGAGGAGAAGCCAGGUGAGGAGAUGAGAAAUGAUGAAGCAAAGGAGGCUGGGCACCGUGGCUUACUCCUGUAAUCCUAGCACUUUGGGAGGCCAAGGCAGGCAGAUCUCUUGAGCCCAGGGGUUUGAGACCAGCCUGGGCAACACGGCAAAACCCCAUCUCUACAAAAUAAUACAAAAAUUAGUCAGGCUUGGUGGUAUGCGCCUGUAGUCCCAACUACUCAAGAGGCUGAGAUAGGAGGAUCACUUGAGCCUGGGAGGUCAAGGCUGCAGUGAGCUAUGAUCGUGCCACUGCAUUCCAGCCUGGGUGAUACAGCAAGAACCUGUCUCAAAAAAAAAAAAAAAAAAAAAAAAAAAAAAAAAAAGCAGCAGAAGCAGAGGAGAAUCAGAAGAGAGAAUUUGUUUAUUCAGGAGGACACUAUCUACAGUAUUAAAACCUGCAGAAUGGCCAAGGAGAGCAAAAGCCCAGGGUUACCAUGAUCUGACAUUCAAGGCAGAGGACAGGAUGUUCAGACCUCACAGGCAGUGAGUGGAGACUGAGUCGUGGAAGAGAGUCCAUUGGUGGGGACAGAGAGAGGUCAGAACCCACUCCCAUGUCUCCUCCCCACUCUACGACUUUGCUCUUCCUGGUGGACACCAGCCAGCAAAUGCAGGUGACAGAAGCCUGGGAGAGGCCUGCUCCUGGAACCAGAGAACCAGCAGACCACCUGCACCAGGAGCUGUGUGAACUUGCAAUUGCCUGGAGCAACUUUUAGGAAACAUCAAAAACAACCUGAGAAAGCCUGGUGUGGUAGCCCAGGCCUGUCAUCCUAGGUCCUUGGGAGGCUGAGACAGGAGGAUCCCUUGAGCCCAGGAGUUCAAGUCUAGCCUGGGCAACACAGCAAGACCCUGUCUCUGAAACAAACAAGCAAACAAACAGAAAAUCCAAAACAAAAAGCAAAGAAACCAAGCUGAUAGAGACAGCUGUGGCUGUGAAGGCAGCUGAGGGGACGAGCUCCCAGGCAGAUCAGAUUCAGCCGAACCGCUGCUCCCUCGUCUGUUCCGGGCAGCCCUGGGCAAUGGAAGAGGCCGUGGCUUCUCAGGCUGGUUCUCACAGUCACUAGCCUAGAGACCCCUUUGUAAAGGGGGGAGGACACCCAUUCUGUUUCAUUGGCUUUGUAAGCGAUUAAGUGCCAGAUAGCAUGAGGGACACUGGGAUGCCCAGAGCCUUGAGUACAAGGCCUGCAGAAUCCACAAAGCCCACACACUAAAAUGACCAAGACAGGGUCCUUCCUACUUCGUAAUUGACUUCCUAUCUCGUAGAUGAACUGGAAUGAGUUAAAAUGAAAGGUGUUUCUAGCCCAUCUAAAGUAGAACUUCUUGAAAUAUCUGUGGGCAAGAUUCAAACAAUAUUUUAAAACAAUUUUAAUCCAUUGUGGACUGAUAUUUUUGUAAUGCAAUAUAAAGAAAUUACUGGAAAGAUGCAAUAAAAAACCAGAUUCCAACAGAAUUACUCAUCACAUUUCCAUCAAUGUUCAUAUUCUCUCUUGAUUUCUGUACUCAUCUUGCUGCAGACCGAUAAGAAGCCCCGUCUGUGAGCAGGCUUGGGUGUGAGUAGGGUUGAUCUAUCUUCUCACUGCUCAAUGUCAACAGGUGGCAUGGACAUCACCUGGGAACUUGCUAGAACUCUAGCCUCUUGGGCCUCAUCCCAUUUCUGCUAAACCAGAAUCUGCUUUUUUGACAAGAUGCCCAACUGAUUCGUGUGCAUGUUAAAGUUUGUGGUGACACCCAUGGCAGCUAAGACUCAGGAAUGUUUUGCAGAAUGAAGGAAUUAACCAAAACCUCUACUCCCGAACCUCAAUUUCCCAUGACGUAAGAGCUAGUGACACAGACCUUCUUUCUGAUGAGCAGGACCAGCUAUGUAAUUUGCAGAGCCCACUGCAAAAGGAAAAGGUGGGGGCUCCUUUUAAAAAAAUCUUUGAGGGUUUCUAAGGUGGCGACA